CUCGUCCUAUGUUGCCAGCGAAUUCGGGGACUCAUAGGAGACUGCCGGGGUCAACUCGGAGGAAGGUGGGGAUGACGUCGAGUCAUCAUGCCCCUUACGUCUUGGGCUGCACACAUGCUACAAUGGCCGGUACAAAGGGCUGCGAUACCGCGAGGUGGAGCGAAUCCCAAAAAGCCGGUCUCAGUUCGGAUCGGGGUCUGCAACUCGACCCCGUGAAGUCGGAGUCGCUAGUAAUCGCAGAUCAGCAAUGCUGCGGUGAAUACGUUCCCGGCCUUGUACACACCGCCCGUCACGUCACGAAAGUCGGUAACACCCGAAGCCGGUGGCCUAACCCUAGGAGCCGUCGAAGGUGGGACCGGCGAUUGGGACGAAGUCGUAACAAGGUAGCCGUACCGGAAGGUGCGGCUGGAUCACCUCCUUUCUAAGGAGCGUGUCUCCUCCUGGGUCGGGUGGUCCAGGGCCAGGGCCGGGCGAGUGUCCCGGUCUGGUUGCUCGAGGGCGUGGACGCUGACGUCCGCCGGUGGUGCCGGCUCCUAGUACUGGUGGGAACGGGGUGUGUCGUGGGGGGUUUCGGGCACGUUGGGUCCUGAGGGAGCGAGUUUCUUCGGUGACUACGGGUCGGGAGGGGGGUGGGGGGUUCGGUCGCGCGGGUCGUGGUACCGCGUCUGGCUGCGGUCGCGGGGGGUCGUCUGUACUUCGAGAACUGCACAGUGGACGCGAUCUUUGUGGCCAAGUUACUAAGGGCG
rnacentral:misc_RNA from 1 species